CCUACGUGCGGCAGCAGUGAGGAAUAUUGGUCAAUGGGCGCGAGCCUGAACCAGCCAAGUAGCGUGAAGGAUGACUGCCCUACGGGUUGUAAACUUCUUUUAUAAAGGAAUAAAGUGAGGCACGUGUGCCUUUUUGUAUGUACUUUAUGAAUAAGGAUCGGCUAACUCCGUGCCAGCAGCCGCGGUAAUACGGAGGAUCCGAGCGUUAUCCGGAUUUAUUGGGUUUAAAGGGAGCGUAGAUGGGUUGUUAAGUCAGUUGUGAAAGUUUGCGGCUCAACCGUAAAAUUGCAAUUGAUACUGGCAGUCUUGAGUACAGUUGAGGUAGGCGGAAUUCGUGGUGUAGCGGUGAAAUGCGUAGAUAUCACGAAGAACUCCGAUUGCGAAGGCAGCUUACUAAACUGCCACUGACAUUGAUGCUCGAAAGUGUGGGUAUCAAACAGGAUUAGAUACCCUAGUAGUC
rnacentral:rRNA from 1 species